GGAUGCAUCAUUGGAGUUACAAAUUUUGUUCCAGUAAGAUAAUUUGUACCAAAACAAGCAUUUAAGGAUGAGGUGAAAAGAGAGAUUCUGCGGUUAGAUGACUGGCUCCUCCUGGAAUUUUACACUCCCUGCAUCUCUGAGGUCGAACAAUGAGCCGGUUGUGAUGGAUCCUCUGCUGUGACAAGAGACUAUGUAUGUUUUUCCAAACAGUCAAAACAAGGUAAGAAGAGGUCAUGAGCAUCUUCUCCAGCCUCUUUACUCCAAACGAUUCUGCUCCGGGUCUCCAGGAGAAGAAUCUGACUUCUUUGCCUUUGAAGAAAAGAAAAGGAAAAGAAAAAGGAAGGUUAACAAAGGCAGUAUAAAUCCCGCAUUCAGAAUGCAUUAUAAUGGGAUUUUUCAUUAAUGUUUAAUUACAAACUUAGGAAAAACAUCCAUGAGCUAAUUAAUUUAUAUUUUUUCCCUAUUAAGAUUUGUUUAUACAAUAAAGAAUGACACAGUAGAAAAAAUAAAAUGCAAAAUAACAGGAUGUACUGGAUCAAGUGCUAUUUUCUAAGCUGCCGAAUCAUGCAGAUGGAAGCCAUACUGUUAAAUGCAACCAAAUUUGCAGUGAUUAAUGUGUUAAUUACAAUUAUGACUAUUCAUGCAGCAGUGUAUCAGCAAUAUACUAGACUCGUAUUAGAUGUUUAUUUCAAUACUUGCCAUCUUUUCAUUCAUACUGUGUAUCACUGUAUUAGUCUUUUGACAACGAAGGAAAAAGCAAUAUUUCCUUCUUUAGUUCACAUUUUCUAUCCUUGAUUUUUUUCAGUUUUAAAGGCAAGUGCUUGUGUUUAAAGCUGAUUGAAUAAUCUGCAUAAUCUGAGUGCCACACACAGAAAAUCGACUGAAGCAAGUGCGUAACCCGACUCUGAAUACACGUAACUUUCCCUGUGUAAAUAUUGACAUAAUUUUUAAAUUUAAGUCACCAACUCUGAGUAUGGUCUUUAGUGUUUAUAAGGUUCCGUUAUAAUGCAUUACGUAUGCACUAUGCAUGUAACUAUAACUAUA